GAUGAACGCUGGCGGCGUGCCUAAUACAUGCAAGUCGAGCGAACAGACGAGGAGCUUGCUCCUCUGACGUUAGCGGCGGACGGGUGAGUAACACGUGGAUAACCUACCUAUAAGACUGGGAUAACUUCGGGAAACCGGAGCUAAUACCGGAUAACAUGUUGAACCGCAUGGUUCAACAGUGAAGGACGGUCUUGCUGUCACUUAUAGAUGGAUCCGCGCCGCAUUAGCUAGUUGGUAAGGUAACGGCUUACCAAGGCAACGAUGCGUAGCCGACCUGAGAGGGUGAUCGGCCACACUGGAACUGAGACACGGUCCAGACUCCUACGGGAGGCAGCAGUAGGGAAUCUUCCGCAAUGGGCGAAAUCCUGACGGAGCAACGCCGCGUGAGUGAAGAAGGUCUUCGGAUCGUAAAACUCUGUUAUUAGGGAAGAACAAAUGUGUAAGUAACUAUGCACGUCUUGACGGUACCUAAUCAGAAAGCCACGGCUAACUACGU
rnacentral:rRNA from 1 species